rnacentral:rRNA from 1 species
AAAAGCAUAUACCAAUAAAGUUUCUCGAAAAAAAAAGAAUCUGCAUAUCAAUUAGGAAUUAAAGAAUAUCUUGUAUACUCCAUAUUUCUAAAUUGUUUGAGGUUCACAUGGUAAUAAACAAAAGUGUGUUCGUCGCAUGGAAGGAUCCCGGCAAGUUCCUAUCUGAGAUUACCACCGGCCCUGCCCUGAGCUGACUUCUUUGCUAGUAGUCAAGUGCGUUUUCACUUAGCUGGAAAAGUCCAUAAUCUGAUUUGAGUGCUUUGUAUUGUAGAAACCUUGCUUGUUCUCGUACAAUUGAAUUAAGUUGAUCUAUAAAUCUAGCUGCCUUAACUGCGGAUGUCGAAACCAAUUCACUUGAGUGAGACAGAGGAGAGUGGAAUUUCGUGUGUAGGGGUGAAAUCCGUAGAUCUACGAAGGAACGCCAAAAGCGAAGGCAGCUCUCUGGGUCCCUACCGACGCUGGGGUGCGAAAGCAUGGGGAGCGAACAGGAUUAGAUACCCUGUUAGUCCAUGCCGUAAAUGAUGAGUGUUCGCCCUUGGUCUACGCGGAUGAGGGGCCCAGCUAACGCGUGAAACACUCU